rnacentral:lncRNA from 1 species
AACAAAGCAUCAAGGUAGGUAGUACUGUUGUUUGUCCAUUCCUUCUUACUUCUCUUCUUUCCUUCCUUCCUUCCAUUCUCUCUCUCUCAAGAUGAGGAUACCGUACUUUAGAAAGGUUAAAUAACUUGUCCAAGGAUAAACUUAGAUUCAAGUCCUAGGUGAUUAAGAACUCUUGCCAUAAUCAUACAAUAAAGCUUGGAGUUGGUACUAGAG